GGCUCGUCCGCUCUGGGUUAGUCGGGUCCUAAGCUGAGGCCGACAGGCGUAGGCGAUGGAUAACAGGUUGAUAUUCCUGUACCACCUAUAAUCGUUUUAAUCGAUGGGGGGACGCAGUAGGAUAGGCGAAGCGUGCGAUUGGAUUGCACGUCUAAGCAGUAAGGCUGAGUAUUAGGCAAAUCCGGUACUCAUUAAGGCUGAGCUGUGAUGGGGAGAAGACAUUGUGUCUUCGAGUCGUUGAUUUCACACUGCCGAGAAAAGCCUCUAGAUAGAAAAUAGGUGCCCGUACCGCAAACCGACACAGGUAGUCAAGAUGAGAAUUCUAAGGUGAGCGAGCGAACUCUCGUUAAGGAACUCGGCAAAAUGACCCCG
rnacentral:rRNA from 1 species